UAGGGAAUCUUCCGCAAUGGGCGAAAGCCUGACGGAGCAACGCCGCGUGAGUGAUGAAGGUCUUCGGAUCGUAAAACUCUGUUAUUAGGGAAGAACAAAUGUGUAAGUAAGUAUGCACGUCUUGACGGUACCUAAUCAGAAAGCCACGGCUAACUACGUGCCAGCAGCCGCGGUAAUACGUAGGUGGCAAGCGUUAUCCGGAAUUAUUGGGCGUAAAGCGCGCGUAGGCGGUUUUUUAAGUCUGAUGUGAAAGCCCACGGCUCAACCGUGGAGGGUCAUUGGAAACUGGAAAACUUGAGUGCCGAAGAGGAAAGUGGAAUUCCAUGUGUAGCGGUGAAAUGCGCAGAGAUAUGGAGGAACACCAGUGGCGAUGGCGACUUUCUGGACUGUAACUGACGCUGAUGUGCGAAAGCGUGGGGAUCAAACAGG
rnacentral:rRNA from 1 species